UACGGGGGGGGCAAGCGUUGUUCGGAAUUACUGGGCGUAAAGCGUGCGCAGGCGGUUGGCAAAGUCAGCUGUGAAAGCCCCGGGCUUAACCUGGGAAUGGCGGUUGAAACUAGUCGACUCGAAUCUGGCAGAGGGGGGUGGAAUUCCACGUGUAGCAGUGAAAUGCGUAGAGAUGUGGAGGAACACCGAUGGCGAAGGCAGCCCCCUGGGCUGAGAUUGACGCUCAGGCACGAAAGCGUGGGGAGCAAACAGG
rnacentral:rRNA from 1 species